GAGGCGGAAAGGACUUAAUGAGGCGUUUGGGUUAUGGAAUUGCGUUUUGAGGAUAUAGACGCUGAAGUCACGAAGGGUUUAUUUAGUUGUUGUUGAAAUGCUCUGUAUUGCUUUAGAUUAUUGUUUGUACCCUCGCCUUUAUCUUGAGAUAUACUGUAAGAGGGAUAGGAAUUGUGUUGUCUAAUGCUUGUAAUAUUAUUUUGUGUGUGUGUAUGGAUGUAUUCUUUAUGAGCUUUUGUAA